AUUUUGAAUAAACAUCGGGCAUUAAAACUUAUGCAACAGUCCGAUCAAAGUUUACUCUUAACUUGUUAAUGUGAAGAAGCAUUGGAUUGGGCGGCAUUUUUUUAAUGUGGUUCGGUGGAAAAUUCAAUUAAAACUGUGGCGAUACAUUGGUCUAACAGCAAUAAUCCUUGGCAUCGUUCCUGAAGGAGAGCCCUCUACCCGUGAAAACUUGAAGAACACCCAUUAGCAUUGCUCCUGAGUAGUGAAAUGGCGCAGCAGUCGAUGAUAUUUAAAAGGUUCUCCGAGAUCCAAGUGGACGUUGAUGGUGGAAUACCAGUUCUUCCUUUCUUAGAUGCCUGCUCGGCAAUCCUACCUUUCUUUGAUGUACUCGGUACAACCGCUUUUGCACCCAUGAAGUCGGAUAUUUCAGGUAAUAUUCAGAAAAUACGAGCAAAGUUUUUGUCCUCAGAAGGGGUAUACAGGACUUUGCAGGAUAUGGUGCAAAAAGAGAUUUUAAACAAAAGUACGCAGGCCAAAAACUCAAUUACCGAAGCCUUGCUGUGGUUGAAAAGGGCUGUUGGAUUUCACCGUGAAUUUCUUCGUGAAUUCUUAACUGGCGAGGAGGACCUCGUUAAAGUGUCUAAAAAAGCAUACGAACUUACACUCAAAACGUACCAUGGAUGGAUGGUCCAAGGAAUAUUUUCGUUGGCCAUGAAGGCUGUACCACACAGAGACAACUUCAUAAAGAGGCUAACGUCUGCGGAAUAUGGCACGCCAAAUGUCAAAGAAGAACAACUAUUGAGUGAUGUAAAGAGCUAUGUAGAGGACAUUACACGAAUAACGGAUAUUUUACAAACAUAUUAUCUAGAGAAAAAUUUGGACAACGAUACCAAGGUGUAGUCUUGGCAAAACAUCUAAUAUGACAAUGCGUUCACUGGCGUAGGUCUUUCGCAUAACGUUACUACUUAAGAUGUCCCUCGGCGUUUAUAGUAA
rnacentral:misc_RNA from 1 species